rnacentral:tRNA from 1 species
UGAGUGUUAGUUAAAAGAUAACUUUCGCUUGAAGCGUGAACAUUGCUAUAAGCACACUCGAC